UUUUUUUUUUUCACUGCACAUAAGCAUAUGAAUAUUAUAACCGCACUCGAUACGUUAACUGUACACCAUCCAAUUAUAACCCAGCAUUGGCAAAUAUCACAGCACUAUCACAAAGUAGUGUGAACCCUUCUGACUCCCACAGAGCCCCAGCUCACACAGGCAAGAAGUUACAGAGGGAAAAGAAAAACCAAAAUUCAUAACUCCCCUUUCACUAAAAGCAAAAAAAAACCAAACAAACAAAGUAACAGCCCUCGUGGCUAGGAGAGAUAAGAGGGCUGAAAACAUGGGCCCUAGCCACACAAACUGGAAAGCACAAUCAAAAUCAAGAUUUUUCACCAAGCUGUAUUGCACUAACCUUUUGAUCUGGAGACAGCAGCUAGCAUUACAAUCACUUCUUAUUUGCUUGUGUUUGAGGAAGUGAAAAGGACAGAUCCCAGCAAAGCAGCAUUCAUCAUCACUGCUCCACAGAGCUCCCACUUCUUCAAGAACCUGGAUGAUUACAGAGAAACCUAAGCAGGAGCUGAUCCCAUCCAACAACCAGCCAUGAUCCCACCUAACCACCAACCCAACAGCCCAGAUAUCACACAGAGCCUUCAUACAAGCAAGAACCCCUGUUAUAGUCAUACCAAUGGCCCUCAGAAAGCAACCCCAAUUUCCUACCUCUUUGAAAACCUUGGGUGGCUCCCAGCACUUCUGUCAAACCAGCACAACACUUCAUCAUCAAGCUUUUAUCUGGGAGCGCCCAGAGGCAGCGCUGCCCCAGCUGUGGCCAUUCAUAUCGUUAGCACUUUGGAGAAACCACUUUGCAAAAGGAAUGGCUCAGCUGGUAACGAAGUAUGGGAACUCCCACCUUGGGACCUCAGAACUGCCCAAGCUGAGGCCUGAAUGCUCUCCAGUAGGCUGAUGUGAGACUGAUUCCUUCCUGACCUGUCUGCUUCAACUCGGGCUACAAGAUCUGUAUGACAAGAAGCAUUAAAUGCAUUGGUCCAGCAUUCAGCACUGCCUGCAGCCCUCAAGUGCUGCUCUAGCAAACCCAAACAGCAGCUGUCCUAGCUCCUAGGCAAUGAUAUCAGGCCCGCUAUCAUGAUGCUCUUUGUUGGUCUUCCUAACAAAGUGUCAAAGAGAGGGGCUUUGGGCUUCCAUACCUCAUGGCAGUGCCUCCAUCAGGGUCACAUCCAGGAGGCAGCGCAGGGAGCUCACCCCACAGUGCCUCUCUCCCAGGCUUUGGGGCAAAGCAACCAACCCUACACGCUGUCUCUGUGUCCCAUCCCCAGCCUUGCGACUGAGACCUGGAAAACGCAGAGCCGUUCAGAGCUGCGCACAGCUGCUGGGACAAAAAGCAAGGCAUGGGGCAAUGCAGGAUGCUCCAAACUCCUGAAGGCACUUCUGAUCCCAGCACACUCCUGCCACAAAUUCAGCAGGUCCCUCUGCCAGCUCCCACCAAUGAAAUUCUGCACACUAAUAAAAUCCUACCUCAUUUACAUCUGAGAUGGGGAGUGAGUGGCAGCUGUUGCUAUAGAAACCUUCUCCUGAGUCCUGGCUCCCGCUGCAGCUCCGGGAGGACAGAUCCUAAGCAGUUCCCCCAGCCCCGGUGGCAUGGGACAUCCCGUGGUGCCCUGCUGAACCCAGCACUGCCGCCCCUGUUCCCAUUGCAGUGGGUGUAGGGGCUACAUAGGUAUCCCCUCCUCCUCCUCCAGGCCCUGCCUGCUGAACCUUCAAUCUCUGGAGCCCCACGCUCACCAUCCUUCCCCAAAACCACGUGAGCACCAGCUCCUGGAGGUGGGGAUCUACAUGCAAAGCCCCUCUCUCACCCAGAGAAAGCAAAAUACAAAGGACAACAAAGAAUUGCUCACUGAGCUACCGGGCUUCGGGGAAACCUGAGCUGAGGAUCUUGCCAAUAGAAGGAAAACUUGCAAUGUGCUUAACAUUUAUUUUGGCUUGCUGCUUUCCCUAGGUUGGGCCGAUGAUUAUUUAGUGCGUGGCCCAUGGGUGCAUCAAUGCUUCGGGUUGCUAGCAGCACCUUACACAAGACCUUCCCUUGGCUUUGACCAGGCUGAACCCUGGUUUCUAGCUCAGCUUCCAGCAUGAAGCCUGGACUGGUCACUAGAGAUUCACCAUUCCCUGACAGCACUGCUAGGCAUGGAGACAUCACCUCUCCACAGUGCAGCACUGGGAAGCAAGAUUUUGAGCAGAAAAGCAACCAGAGGACAGGGCCAGAUCCUGCUGUCACAUACAGGCAGGCUGAGCAGGAAAGAACCAGCUUGUGAGCUGCCACAUCUGCUGGUGUGCUGAGGAGCAUCACACAGCCUGGACAACUGGUGGGGUGAAUGUGGUGGCUCUCCUACAGGAAUGUUCCUCAGGUCAUCUGAGGAGCAGCAGUCCUGGUGUCCUUUUCCUUUGGCCCAGACAUCAGGGCUGUCUGAACUCUGCUUUGCAGGGACAUCUCCUUCAUCUCCUGCAUGCGUGCUGUGCCACGUGGCCACCGUGAGUACAGGAUGGAGAGUGGUACCACCACUUUUUCCCCACCAAACAACACCCCCAGCGUGCCUUUGAAGCUAUUUAUUCCUCCCUCCAGACCUCAGCUGCCUGCUCCAUCACACAGGGAAAAACUGACUCAGACCUUCCCAAGAUAAGGAGACCACAUCUGCAGCCCAGCUCCCCAGGAAUGCAAUCAAAAUAGCGACCGGCAGGCAAGGCGAGAAAGCAUUUUUCGCUGCUGACUCCGACCCCCUGAUGGACUGUUGCUAUGGAAAGGCAGCGAGCAGCCCCAGCUGGGGUUCUGCUGAAGGAUUUUCCCUGUUUGGCCUGGGGCUAGGGCAAGGGGAAGGGGGGAGCGCAGGGAAGGAGCUCGCAUCUGGCUGCGGCUGGGCUCCCCACCGCCAGGUGCAGGCUCACCUCCCUCUUGGCUGCAGCAUCCUGAGACACUCUGCAUCCUGCACCAGGCUCAGGUGCUGCUCGGUGGUGUUUGGAGACUGGUGCAGGAGCACAGCUAAUAAGCGCAGCUCCUAAUUGGUGUCAGAGGUACCAGGGAAGGGGCAGGGGGACAGUAACCCAAGCCUGGCCAGUCUUCCUCUGAGCCUGUAAGGUCUCUGGGACACCCAUCCAGCUCCUUUCCCCUUCAGCCUGUUUCCAGUUCCUCAUUCUGGCAUGAAGAAAUAGGGCAGUAAUUCCUCUCCUGAAGGGGGAAACAAUUCAGAAGUUAAAGCAGAGCCCUUCCAGGCUGCACGAGCAGGCUGACGGUUGGGUGAAGAUUUGCACAACUUUCUUAUUGUUAAAAAAAAACGCUCAGUGACAGCAUUGGGCCAGGAGCAGCAGGAGACCCUCAGCUCCCUCUGCAGAUCCUUCCCAUGACAGCUGCCCCCUGGGCGGAUGGGAUUCAUCUGCAAGAAGCCGCAGGGACACAUGCAGGGCCGCUCUGCCCCUCCGAAACGUCCCUGCUCCGCACACUGACAGCGCUGAGACAGCACCACAUCUCCUGCCAGUCUCUUCCACAGCUCCUGCUACACCGUUGCUGUUAUUAAAGCUCCUUCCAGUUGAUGGAGGUGGCCUGAAGAUGAACAGCGGUCCGGGCGCUGCAUGGCCGCUUCUCAGCCAGUUCAUUGAGAUGAGGUGGAAAAGGCCAGAGCUCCAAGCUGCCUCCGUACACCAGCGCCUGGCACCAGGCACCGAGGGAGCUGCUGCCAGCAGCCAGCACCCAGAGGAGCCGUUCCCCCUCCCGCUGUCUCGCUGGGAGUUGGCAGGAGGGGACAGACAGCUGCUUUUCCAUAAUCAUUUCUCCACCGCUGAUGACAUGCUGGAGCUAAUUUUCUGAAGACACC
ensembl:lncRNA